AUGGUCCUCUUUUACAUCUUCAUUUUGACACUUCUUACAGAAGGCAUUUUUGCAAAUUCAGUAAGUCCUUGGUCUACUAAACAGCAGGUUUUGGAAGGAGAAAAGGUGACUCUUUCAUGUAACUACAGUGGAAGUAAUAUUCAAAGUUUGCAGUGGUACAGACAGUAUUCCAGCAGCACAGCUCCUGAAUAUCUCCUGCAAACCUUUGAAAAUGCAGAACCAGCGCAACAGGGCCGUCAUCUAGCUAAAGCACAAAAGGACAAAAAACAACUGGAUCUGGAGAUCUCCAAAGCUGAAAUGACAGACUCUGUGAUAUAUUACUGUGCACUGGUGCCCACAGUGACAGGAAACACUUCUAAUCUGUACAAAAACCUGGCAUCAGUGUCUCACAUCUGA